rnacentral:rRNA from 1 species
GAUGAACGCUGACAGAAUGCUUAACACAUGCAAGUCUUUGGCGAAGCUGUGCUUGCACCGCCUAGCCAAGGCGGACGGGUGAGUAACGCGUAAGGAACUUGCCCUGCAGUCAGGGAUAACAGACGGAAACGACUGAUAAGACCUGGUAAAGUCAGGCGGACUCAUGUCCAGCCUGAUGAAAAGAGAUGCUGCAGGAGAGCCUUGCGUCCUAUUAGCUUGUUGGUGGGGUAACGGCCCACCAAGGCGAUGAUAGGUAGCCGGCCUGAGAGGGUGGACGGCCACAAGGGGACUGAGAUACGGCCCUUACUCCUGCGGGAGGCAGCAGUGGGGAAUAUUGGACAAUGGGGGCAACCCUGAUCCAGCAAUUCUGUGUGCACGAUGAAGGUUUUCGGAUUGUAAAGUGCUUUCAGCAGGGAAGAAAAAAAUGACGGUACCUGCAGAAGAAGCGACGGCUAAAUACGUG